UUGAAUAUACCCGAUCUCGUCUGAUCUCGGAAGUCAAGCAAUCUCGGGCUUGGUUAGUACUUGGAUGGGUGACCGCUUGGGAAUACCAAGUGUGAUAAGCA
rnacentral:rRNA from 1 species